rnacentral:rRNA from 1 species
AGAAGGGAGCUUGCUCCCGGAUGUUAGCGGCGGACGGGUGAGUAACACGUGGGUAACCUGCCUGUAAGACUGGGAUAACUCCGGGAAACCGGAGCUAAUACCGGAUAGUUCCUUGAACCGCAUGGUUCAAGGAUGAAAGACGGUUUCGGCUGUCACUUACAGAUGGACCCGCGGCGCAUUAGCUAGUUGGUGGGGUAAUGGCUCACCAAGGCGACGAUGCGUAGCCGACCUGAGAGGGUGAUCGGCCACACUGGGACUGAGACACGGCCCAGACUCCUACGGGAGGCAGCAGUAGGGAAUCUUCCGCAAUGGACGAAAGUCUGACGGAGCAACGCCGCGUGAGUGAUGAAGGUUUUCGGAUCGUAAAGCUCUGUUGUUAGGGAAGAACAAGUGCGAGAGUAACUGCUCGCACCUUGACGGUACCUAACCAGAAAGCCACGGCUAACUACGUGCCAGCAGCCGCGGUAAUACGUAGGUGGCAAGCGUUGUCCGGAAUUAUUGGGCGUAAAGGGCUCGCAGGCGGUUUCUUAAGUCUGAUGUGAAAGCCCCCGGCUCAACCGGGGAGGGUCAUUGGAAACUGGGAAACUUGAGUGCAGAAGAGGAGAGUGGAAUUCCACGUGUAGCGGUGAAAUGCGUAGAGAUGUGGAGGAACACCAGUGGCGAAGGCGACUCUCUGGUCUGUAACUGACGCUGAGGAGCGAAAGCGUGGGGAGCGAACAGGAUUAGAUACCCUGGUAGUCCACGCCGUAAACGAUGAGUGCUAAGUGUUAGGGGGUUUCCGCCCCUUAGUGCUGCAGCUAACGCAUUAAGCACUCCGCCUGGGGAGUACGGUCGCAAGACUGAAAC